ACCCGCUGAACUUAAGCAUAUCAAUAAGCGGAGGAAAAGAAACCAACAGGGAUUGCCCUAGUAACGGCGAGUGAAGCGGCAUCAGCUCAAAUUUGAAAUCUGGCGCUUUCAGCGUCCGAGUUGUAAUUUGCAGAGGAAGUUUUUGGCGUUGGCAGCGGUCCAAGUUCCUUGGAACAGGUCGUCACAGAGGGUGAGAAUCCCGUACGUGGCCGCAGGUCUUCGCCGUGUAAAACUCCUUCGACGAGUCGAGUUGUUUGGGAAUGCAGCUCUAAAUGGGAGGUAAAUUUCUUCUAAAGCUAAAUACUGGCCAGAGACCGAUAGCGCACAAGUAGAGUGAUCGAAAGAUGAAAAGCACUUUGGAAAGAGAGUCAAACAGCACGUGAAAUUGUUGAAAGGGAAGCGCUUGCAGCCAGACUUGCCUGCCGUUGCUCAUCCGGGCUUUUGCCCGGUGCACUCUUCGGUAGGCAGGCCAGCAUCAGUUUGGGCGGUGGGAUAAAGGUCUCUGUCACGUACCUCCUUUCGGGGAGGCCUUAUAGGGGAGACGUCAUGCCACCAGCCUGGACUGAGGUCCGCGCAUCUGCUAGGAUGCUGGCGUAAUGGCUGUAAGCGGCCCGUCUUGAAACACGGACCAAGGAGUCUAACAUCUAUGCGAGUGUUUGGGUGUCAAGCCCAAGCGCGUAAUGAAAGUGAACGGAGGUGGGACCCCGUAAGGGUGCACCAUCGACCGAUCCUGAUGUCUUCGGAUGGAUUUGAGUAAGAGCAUGGCUGUUGGGACCCGAAAGAUGGUGAACUAUGCUUGAAUAGGGUGAAGCCAGAGGAAACUCUGGUGGAGGCUCGCAGCGGUUCUGACGUGCAAAUCGAUCGUCAAA
rnacentral:rRNA from 1 species